ACGGAAGGCAGCAGUGGGGAAUAUUGGGCAAUGGGGGAAACCCUGACCCAGCAACGCCGCGUGAGCGAUGAAGGCCUUCGGGUCGUAAAGCUCUGUCCUCAAGGAAGAUAAUGACGGUACUUGAGGAGGAAGCCCCGGCUAACUACGUGCCAGCAGCCGCGGUAAUACGUAGGGGGCUAGCGUUAUCCGGAUUUACUGGGCGUAAAGGGUGCGUAGGUGGUUUCUUAAGUCAGGAGUGAAAGGCUACGGCUUAACCGUAGUAAGCUCUUGAAACUGGGAAACUUGAGUGCAGGAGAGGAAAGUGGAAUUCCUAGUGUAGCGGUGAAAUGCGUAGAUAUUAGGAGGAACACCAGUAGCGAAGGCGGCUUUCUGGACUGUAACUGACACUGAGGCACGAAAGCGUGGGGAGCAAACAGGAUUAGAUACCCUGGUA
rnacentral:rRNA from 1 species